rnacentral:misc_RNA from 1 species
GAUGAAACGUAGCAAAAUGCGAUAAGUAAUGUGAAUUGCAGAAUUCAGUGAAUCAUCGAAUCUUUGAACGCACAUUGCGCCCGCCAGUAUUCUGGCGGGCAUGCCUGUUCGAGCGUCAUUUCAACCCUCAAGCACAGCUUGGUGUUGGGACUCGCGUUAAUUCGCGUUCCCCAAAUUGAUUGGCGGUCACGUCGAGCUUCCAUAGCGUAGUAGUAAAACCCUCGUUACUGGUAAUCGUCGCGGCCACGCCGUUAAACCCCAACUUCUGAAUGUUGACCUCGGAUCAGGUAGGAAUACCCGCUGAACUUAAGCAUAUCAAUAAGCGGAGGA